rnacentral:piRNA from 1 species
CCGCAGUGUGACAAAUCUUGGAUGCCAAGU